UCGUGCUAGACGGGGAGUUAGCGGUGCCCUGUACCUGCAAUCCGCUAUAGCAGGGUCGAAUUCCGGCAUGAGGUCCUUCCUUUCAGCGCUGGCUGGGGAAGCGGAGUGUUGAGGGCUGGGUCCUGCGCGACGAAUCCUCGCCAACCCCGCCAGGCCCGGAAGGGAGCAACGGUACGCGAGGCUCUUCGGGUGCCGCAGGGGUGCCUGGUCGGAGCUACCAGCCCCGGUACAGCUGGGAGGGAGCGAUCGAGUGACGGUGCACGA
rnacentral:SRP_RNA from 1 species